AAAAAGGGUGCUCGUCCUGGCACGUUUCCGAUCACGAAACUCAAGUGCGGACGCAUUGCGCCGCAGGAGCGUCUCCUUCGCUCCGCCCCUGGACUUCUCCGGGGAUAGGCGGGGGCGAGCGUUCCAUUGCCGCCUUCGACGCCUCCUUGCGCGCCCAGUGGGGUAUGGCUUUGCAUAUCCAGUGCGUAAUUUUUGUAUUUGGGGCCGCGGCUGCACAUUGUGGAUUGCUCGGGGAUUCCCGGAUCUCCCUGCGUGCCAGUGCGCUGCGCCCCGCC
ensembl:snRNA snRNA:U11 small nuclear RNA U11